AUGAUAGAUCACAAGAUUCAAAAACAGCUUAUUGGUUCUUGUGCUCAUGAAACAACAAAAUUUGUCAUAGAGGAACUUGGUGAUGAGUGUUUCGCAAUUCUUGCUGAUGAAUCUAGUGAUGCAUACCAACAAGAACAGUUAGCUCUUUGCUUGCGAUUUGUCAAUAAAAUAGGGGAGCCGGUUGAAAGGUUUCUUGGUCUUGCUCAAGUUGCGGAUACUACAUCAUUGACUCUUAAAGAAGCAAUUCAGACCUUGCUUAUGAAGUAUCAAUUGCCGAUAUCCAAGGUACGUGGGCAAGGGUAUGAUGGUGCUAGUAACAUGAAGGGUCAUGUUAAUGGUUUGAAGAAACUAAUUAUGGAAGAUUCUCCUUCUGCUUAUUAUGUUCAUUGCUUCGCCCAUCAGCUUCAACUAACCCUUGUAGCUGUUGCUAAGGAGAAUAUUGAUUGCAAAUGGUUCUUUGGGCACCUUGCAUAUUUGUUGAAUGUUCUUGGGAUGUCAUGUAAAAAGAUCUGCAUGCUUCGCGUAGCUCAGGCUGAGUAUAUGAUUGAAGCAUUGAAACUAGGUGAAAUUGAAGCUGGCCAAGGUUUGAAUCAAGAGAUGGGCCUAGCAUGGCCUGGUGAUGCACGAUGGGGAUCUCACUACGAAACAGUAAUGCAUGUUAUGUCUUUGUAUCCUUCAAUCAGGAAAGUUCUCUUUAGGCUUGGGAGAGAAAGUAAUUCAGUAGAGGCUUUAGGAGCUCAAACUAUGUUGGAAGUAUUUAAAUCAUUUGAGUUUGUUUUCAUGCUACACUUGAUGAAUGAAAUAUUUGGGUACACAAGUGACUUAAGCAACGCUUUGCAAAAGAGGGAUCAAGAUAUUGUGAAUGCAGUUGAUCUUCUUGAGUUCACAAGGUACAACUGCAAGUUCUAA
rnacentral:rRNA from 1 species